rnacentral:tRNA from 1 species
GCCUCUGUGGUGGAAUGGUAGACACAGCAGACUUAAAAUCUGCCGGCCGCAAAGCCGUACCGGUUCGAGUCCGGUUAGAGGCA